rnacentral:lncRNA from 1 species
UCACAUCCUACUAGCACAACAAGCCUCAUCGCCGACUGAUCCGUCUUCUCAAAUUCGAACCAACUCAAUGACUAAGCAAGCAAAGGUUUCAGGGUAUUAUAUAUUUCCUCUCUUUAAUCUGUGCAUUAUUUUAGCUUCCUUAUCAGCCAACAUAUUCUCAUAAAACCUUUGUCCUCAGGUGAUCUACAUUAGUCAAAUUGCUAGAUCAUAGUCUCAGAAAACAAACAAGAGGUAUGGUCACAUACACUUUUCCCUCUGUCUAUAUCACAUAAUCAUCAUUCAACCAUAAUUUUACAAGUCAGACAUUCAUAAAUGACCCAUGAUGCACUUUAUCAAAAGCUACUUUUUCAUGAUGUCGGGAAGAUCAAACACAAGAGACGGCCAACAAAUUGAAGGUAUGGCAACAACUCCAGCAACUUGCAUCCAAUAUACGCCGGCGACACCCAAACGAUCAAAGGCACAAAGAAACGUCCGACGAACUGAAGACACAAUAUCAGCACCAUCAGCCUCAGGUAAUAUCCCCAUGCAAUUCUUCAUGUGUGUGCCUGCAUUUUGAUCUCAGCUCAACAUUGCGUCAAAACUCUUCUCAUACUGAACUAUAAAAUUCUUUUUCUUCAUGCAUCCUAACACUACCAUGAUAAUAAUGUCAAAGCUACAAAAAGAGCAACACGGUUGAACAAUUAUUGAUUUAUAGUUCCCUACCAGAUAAACAACAUUGAUCUCCAGAUGUACUGUAUGUGACAACAUCCAUUAGUAGUCUCUUAUAUCACCAAAUGCACUUGCAUGCCUGUAAAGGAAAAACACUAUUAAGUACUCUCUCUGUAGAGAAAUAUAAGAGUGUUUAGAUCACUACUUUAGUAAUCUAAACGCUAUUAUAUUUCUUUAUGGAGGGAGUACAACAUAAAUCAUGUUACAUGAUACUAUGUUAAGAAAACUAUACGCACUGACGAAAUCACAUUUGCAGAUAUGAGAGUCCAACAUACGUUAGACCCAGCUCACCAGACAAAAAGAAAGAAAGAACAACCUCUAAACUCAAGGGGUAGAAAGCGGACAAGGACUGCAGAGGGAAGAAGAAAUGCGAACACAGAGGCUCCUAAACGAUUGAGAAAGGCUAAUGCUGAAGAAGAUAGGGAAUUGAAGCGCGCCAGAAGCGAAACCAACAAAAACAACACUAGAGUCAAUGUUGGAGACAACAACAGAACCAAAACCUCGACAAGUGCUAAUAGCAAGCCAUGGAACUUCGGAAGGCCAACAUACAAAUGCCAAUAUUGCAAAGCAUUGCUAUGGUGUGAAGAAAGAUUAAAUUCAAACAAAGGAACUACGACACCCUCUUUUGGAAUAUGCUGCAAACAAGGGAAAAUCGAUCUGCCGCCACUAAGAGAACCUCCACCAUACCUUAGAAACCUCUUAAGAAGUGAAGGGCAGGAUUCGGUAAACUUCAAAGAAAAUAUAAGGUCAUACAACUCAAUGUUUUCAUUCACAUCGAUGGGAGGAGCUGUGGACAAGGAAAUAAACACUCGCAAAGGACCUUAUGUUUUUCAUUUGCAUGGACAAAACUACCACCAUAUCGGAACUCUUUUGCCUCAAGGUACAGACAAACCUCAGUUCGCACAACUAUACAUCUAUAAUACCGAAAUUGAGGUGGAAAACAGGAUAAGUGCGUCAAGAUGCAAUGAUAAUAAAUCAACAGUGAACCCCAACAUCGUCAAAGAACUGAAGAUAAUGCUCGACGACAACAAUAUCCUCGCAAAAACAUUCAGAAUGGCAAGAGACAGAUUCCAAGAAGGAGACUACCAUGAUUACACACUUCGGAUACUAGGCAAAAGGAACGGAACACACAACCUUCCAUCCGCAUCUAAAGUUGCAGCAUUGGUAGUAAGAGAUCCAACCGGAGAGAGUAAAGGACGUGACAUUGUUGUUGAGUACAAAAAUAUGGAGCCGCAAAGGAUAUCAGAGAUCCACCCAAAAUUCAUGUCCAUGCAAUAUCCGUUGUUGUUCCCAUAUGGAGAAGAUGGUUUUAAACUUGAGAUACCCUACAAGAAAACAAAAGGAGGUACAAACAGCAGGAAAUACGUAACAUUGUUGGACUACUAUGCAUUCUACCUACAGCAACGUCCUGAUCAAGGAAUGUUACUACUCAAGUCCGGGCAUUUGUCACUGCAAUUUUGGGUGGAUGUAUACACAUGUAUCGAGCAAAAUAGACUAAACUGGAUCCGACACAAUCAAGGAAAGCUACGAACUGAACUUUACAGUGGAUUACGGGAUGCAAUUGAGCGAGGGGACACAAGAACAGAGCAAGUUGGAAAGAGGAUAAUUGUGCCUUCAUCUUUUACAGGUGGUAGAAGAAACAAGGCACACUAUUUGCAAGAUGCCUUUGCAAUAUGUCGUUGGGAUGGAUACCCAGACCUAUUUAUAACAUUCACAUGCAAUGCAAAGUGGCCUGAGAUCCAAUACAUGCUAGAUGAAGCGGGAGGUGGCCAAAAGCCAGCCGAUCGGCCAGAUAUUGUGGACAGAGUAUUUAUGAUCAAACUAAAGGAGCUAAUGAGAGACAUAAAAGAAAAGAAAUACUUUGGAGAAACAGUUGCAAGUAAGUACCAUUGACUAUCAAUCUUUACUCUUUCUUGCAUCAUCUUAUAGUCCGUCAGACUCCUGCUCUUUAGAAACAUGCAUCAUCUUAUACUCCGUAAGAUUCUAGCUCUUUAGUAACAUGCAUUCUAAUUUUAGCUAAAUCUGACAAACUAUUAAUCAACUGCAGUCAUCUACACAAUAGAAUUCCAGAAGAGAGGACUCCCGCAUGCCCACAUACUAAUAUUUUUGAAGGACAAAGACAAGUACCCGGAACCAUCGCAAAUCGACAAAAUAAUAAGCGUUGAGAUCCCAAACAAGGAUGAGGAUCCAGAAGCAUUUGAAGCUGUUGAGAACUUCAUGAUGCAUGGCCCGUGCGGUGAGGCUAAGAAAAACUCACCAUGCAUGGUGGACCAUAGAUGCACCAAGCAUUUCCCAAAAAGAUACAAUGUCAGCACUACCAUUGACGAGGACGGAUUUCCAGUAUAUAAAAGGAGGGAUGACGGAAGGCAGAUCAAAAAGGGAGGGGUGAUGCUCGACAACAGAUUUGUCGUGCCAUACAACCGGAACCUUCUGGUCAAGUAUCAAGCUCACAUAAAUGUCGAGUGGUGCAAUAGGUCCAGAUCAAUCAAGUACCUAUUUAAGUAUAUCCAUAAAGACGACGACCAUGUUACAGCCUUGCUCAAGGAAAGGGGCAUGGCAAACGAAACUGACGAGAUCAAGAAAUACCUAGAGAUGAGAUACAUAUCAACAUCAGAAGCAUGCUAGAGGAUAUUUCAGUUUGAUCUUUAGUAUCGCGAUCCAGCAGUUGAGAGGCUACCUUUCCAUCUUGAAAAUGAGCAACAAGUCGUCUUUCCAGACUCCACUGAUCUUGAAAAGAUAGUAACAAGGGACGGAUCUAAAAUCACCAAGUUCACUUAGUGGAUGGAGGCAAAUAAAAUAUACGAGCUAGGAAAAGGAUUGACUUACGCAGAAUUCCCUACAAAGUUUGUAUGGAAAAGCGAAACAAAAUGUUGGCAGAAGCGAAAAAGGGACUAUGCAAUUGGAAGAAUCUACUAUGCACAUCCCGCAAGUGGCGAGAGAUAUCAUAUGAGGAUGCUUCUAAACACCAAGAAAGGAUGCACAUCAUUUAAGGACAUUAGGACCGUUGAUGGAGUCAUUCACCCAACAUACAAAUCAGCAUGCCAAGCCCUCGGAUUUCUUGAUGAUGACACCGAGUGGAUUGACUGUAUCAAUGAAGCAUCAAGUUGGGCAUCUGAAACACAACUACGUCAGUUAUUCACCACCAUAUUGUCCCAUUGCGAAGUCACAAACCCAAAAGUAUUGUGGGAUUCAACAUGGGAGGCGUUGUGUGAAGAUAUGCAAUAUAAAAGAAGGACUAUUCUAAACUUUCCAACACUUCGGCUUACAAACACACAGAAGAAAGCGUAUGGUCUGAUUGAGAUAGAAAAACUGAUGAGGCAAGUAGAAAAGUCACUAAAGGACUAUCCAGACAUAGAACUACCAAAUGCCGCAGAGCUAGAAGAACUUGGGAACAGACUAAUAAACGAAGAGGUCAACUACGACAUGGACAAACUCAAGGAUGAGCACAAAAUCAUACUAAACAAUCUUAACCAAGACCAGAAAAAGGCCUAUGAUGCAAUAAUGGAGUCAGUCGACAAAGGCCUAGGAAAGCAGAUAUUUGUCGAAGGCUACGGUGGCACAGGAAAAACCUAUCUAUGGAAAGCAAUAACGACAAAGCUAAGAUCAGAGGGGAAGAUAGUACUUGCAGUAGCAUCAUGUGGCAUUGCAGCGUUGCUUCUCCAAGGUGGAAGAACAGCACACUCAAGGUUCCGUAUUCCACUUAAUAUCACUGAAGAAUCAACAUGUGAAAUAAAACAAGGCUCGCAUUUGGCUGAACUGCUAAAGAAGACCUCACUUAUAUUGUGGGACGAGGCUCCUAUGGCAAACAAACACUGCUUUGAGGCACUAGACAAAAUCCUUAGAGAUAUUCUAAGGUUCACUAAUGAAAACAGCGAUGAAAAGCCAUUUGGUGGAAUGACAGUUAUACUAGGAGGCGACUUCAGACAAAUCCUGCCAGUUAUAACCAAAGGAAGGAGAGAGCAGAUAGUAAAUGCUUCAAUCAAAAGGUCAUAUCUGUGGAAACACUUUGAAAUAUUUGAGUUAACACAGAACAUGCGGCUGAAGUGUUUGUCAGAUGAUCCAAUACAAAAGCAAAAGGUCGCUGAAUUUGCAGAGUGGAUACUACAGAUUGGCGAUGGGAAAACAACAUCAGAUGAAGGAGAGGAUUGGAUAAAAAUACCAAAAGACCUACUGCUAGAGAAAGGAGAAAAUCGUAAGGAACAAAUCGUCAAAAGCAUAUACCCAAAUUUGCUGCAAAAUUACCGUGAGCGGGAUUACCUAGAAGAAAGAGCAAUACUAUGUCCAAGAAAUGAUACAGUCAAGGAGAUAAAUGACCACAUAAUGAGCCAAAUACAAGGUGAAGAGGUGACAUACCUAAGCCUGGACACAGUGUGCAAGGCAACGACAAAUACCAACAUCAUGAUGAACAUGCAACCUACUGAGUUCCUCAACACCUUAACGUCCCCAGGAAUACCAGAC